AUGGUUAAGUUAGAAAGGGCGCACGGUGGAUGCCUUGGCACUAGGAGCCGAUGAAGGACGGGACGAACACCGAUAUGCUUCGGGGAGCUGUAAGCAAGCUUUGAUCCGGAGAUUUCCGAAUGGGGAAACCCACUGCUCGUAAUGGAGUAGUAUCCAUACUUGAAUACAUAGAGUAUGAGAAGGCAUACCCGGGGAACUGAAACAUCUAAGUACCCGGAGGAAGAGAAAGCAAAUGCGAUUCCCUGAGUAGCGGCGAGCGAAACGGGAACAGCCCAAACCAAGAGGCUUGCCUCUUGGGGUUGUAGGACACUCUAUACGGAGUUACAAAGGAACGAUAUAAGCGAAGAGGUCUGGAAAGGCCCGCCAAAGAAGGUAACAGCCCUGUAACUGAAAUGUUGUUCUCUCCAGAGUGGAUCCUGAGUACGGCGGAACACGUGAAAUUCCGUCGGAAUCCGGGAGGACCAUCUCCCAAGGCUAAAUACUCCCUAGUGACCGAUAGUGAACCAGUACCGUGAGGGAAAGGUGAAAAGCACCCCGGAAGGGGAGUGAAAUAGAUCCUGAAACCGUGUGCCUACAAGUAGUCAGAGCCCGUUAAAGGGUGAUGGCGUGCCUUUUGUAGAAUGAACCGGCGAGUUACGAUCCCGUGCAAGGUUAAGCAGAAGAUGCG
rnacentral:rRNA from 1 species